AAAUAGCUUGAAGAAUGACACAGAAUCUUUUCGCACUGCACCAGAUCAAUGUGGGAGCUUUUAUAAGAAUACAGUGUAGUUGCAUCUAUGUAGCCACUAGCCAGUACUAGAUAAGCUAGAUGAAAAGAGCGGUGGUUGAGCUCCCCCUUGGCCAUGAAAAUGGCCUGAAGAGUGGACAAGAGUGUUAUUACACUGCGCCAGAACAAGGCGGGAGCUUCCGUAAGAACUCAGUGCCAAUUGUGUCUGUGUGUCCAUCUUCUCUAUUAGUUAAUUAGUUAGCCAACUACCUAAGAUCUUAUUGUUGGUACUCUCGACUUUUCUGGAUUUAUCUAUGUCGGUAAGAGAAGAGUGGGAUUCAUCACCAGCAUCGCCAAAUCAAAUAUUUCCCCAUGAGCAAACAUCCACAUUUCAUUUGAUUAUUUUCGCAGUAUGCGCUGCAUGCUGUCGAGGAAUGGGAGUCCUUGGACUUUAGUGCGGCACUUGUUUGGGCAUUUGAGAAAAAGUAGUGUUAUAACUUUUAUAGUACCAUAGUAGCACUUUCUUUUUUGUCUAAAGAACUAGUUGACGGUGCUAAUAAAAGGAUAAGAUAUCGGCGGAUAAUGGUUGGUGCGUGCAUGCAGCCAUUGUCGCCAUCUCUCCAUUGAAUAUAUAUUGCCUUUCUUUGGCCGA